rnacentral:lncRNA from 1 species
UAGCUAAGGUGUCGAUGCCAGAGGUUGACUUAGGUAUGAUCUGUUGGUCGAGAAGGUGUUUUAGUAGAUAGUUUGAUGCAAAAGGCAUAAUAAAGUUGGCAGUAGGCGAUGGUGUUGGGUUGGGUGAUGAUCUGAAGCAAAGACAUUGAGGUGUAUUGAUUAAUAAUUUUUUGAAUGGGGUUGUUGUUUUGAAUUUGGAUCUGAAGCAUAGUUGUGAUUGUUCUGAAAGUAUGGUGAGCAGGAGUUGUUGAGCCAAAACUGAAUAGUGAUGUCAUUGCAAGUGUCAUCAAGAUGCAACCAUAAGAAGGAAAUUGUGUUGAUGUUGUUAUAGCUAGAAGAUUGUGUUGGAGUAGAGAUUGGUGAGAAGAGUGACUUGCCAAGAUCUUCUAUUAAAAGAUGAGAGCUUGCAGCCAUAAGAGGCAUUGGUACUGAAACUGCUAUGUUGAUAUUUAUUAGAGCAACAAGGAGUGUCAAACCCAAAAGAUAGAUAUUUUUUUGGAAGAAGACACCUAGUGAGGAUGUGAUCAUUACAAUCCAUUAGUUUAUAUUUUUGGUUUUUUAUUAGAAGUCCUAUUGUUUGAUUGUAUGUACAAACUAAAAACAAAUUUUUGUAUAAAUUUGGGACAUAAAAAACAUUUGAGAGGCAAAGUAUGUGCUUUUUUUUCUAACUGAAUUUUAUCUGAUCUUUGUUUAUAGAUUCAAAAUAUUAUAUUGUCUCCAAAAUGCACUUGAUGAUUAUUAAGUUAGAGAAUUUGAAAAUCAAUAAAUAAUAUUUUAGUAUAAGCUA